rnacentral:rRNA from 1 species
UCCUACGGGAGGCAGCAGUAGGGAAUCUUUCACAAUGGGGAAACCCUGAUGGUGCGACGCCGCGUGAGGGAAUGAAGGUCUUCGGACUGUAAACCCCUGUCAUGUGGGAGCAAAUUAAAAAGAUAGUACCACAAGAGGAAGAGACGGCUAACUCUGUGCCAGCAGCCGCGGUAAUACGGAGGUCUCAAGCGUUGUUCGGAAUCACUGGGCGUAAAGCGUGCGUAGGCUGUUUCGUAAGUCGUGUGUGAAAGGCGCGGGCUCAACCCGCGGACGGCACAUGAUACUGCGAGACUAGAGUAAUGGAG